rnacentral:rRNA from 1 species
CCUACGGGCGGCAGCAGUGGGGAAUAUUGCGCAAUGGGCGAAAGCCUGACGCAGCGACGCCGCGUGAGGGAUGAAGGUCUUCGGAUCGUAAACCUCUGUCAGCAGGGAAGAACGGUCACUGUGCUAAUCAGCCGUGAAUUGACGGUACCUGAAGAAGAAGCGCCGGCUAACUACGUGCCAGCAGCCGCGGUAAUACGUAGGGGGCAAGCGGUAUCCGGAUUUACUGGGGGGAAAGGGGGCGCAGACGGGGAUGCAAGCCAGGAGGGAAAGCCCGGGGCCCAACCCCGGGACUGCUCUUGGAACUGCGGGGCGGGAGUGCAGGAGGGGCAGGCGGAAUUCCUGGUGUAGCGGUGAAAUGCGUAGAUAUCAGGAGGAACACCGGUGGCGAAGGCGGCCUGCUGGACUGCAACUGACGUUGAGGCCCGAAAGCGUGGGGAGCAAACAGGAUUAGAUACCCGAGUAGUC